GGACGUAGUCAGUUGGUAGAAUGUGUGCCUUGCAUGCAUAAGGCCUUGGUUCAACUCCCAGCACCA
rnacentral:tRNA from 1 species